GCAGCAGCCGCGGUAAUACGAGGGGGGCAAGCGUUGUUCGGAAUUAUUGGGCGUAAAGGGUGCGUAGGCGGCUUGACAAGUCUUGUGUGAAAUCUAUGGGCUCAACCCAUAGUCUGCACGGGAAACUGUCGGGCUUGAGAAUGGGAGAGGUGAGUGGAAUUUCCGGUGUAGCGGUGAAAUGCGUAGAUAUCGGAAGGAACACCUGUGGCGAAAGCGGCUCACUGGACCAUAACUGACGCUGAGGCGCGAAAGCUAGGGGAGCAAACAGGAUUAGAUACCCCGGUAGUCCCUGUCUCUUAUAC
rnacentral:rRNA from 1 species